UACGAAGGGGGCUAGCGUUGCUCGGAAUCACUGGGCGUAAAGCGCGUGUAGGCGGCUUUGCAAGUCGGAUGUGAAAGCCCACGGCUCAACCGUGGAAGUGCAUCCGAAACUGCAUGGCUCGAGUCUCGGAGAGGAAGGUGGAAUGCUUGGUGUAGAGGUGAAAUUCGUAGAUAUCAAGCAGAACACCUGCGGCGAAGGCGGCCUUCUGGACGAUGACUGACGCUGAGACGCGAAAGCGUGGGGAGCAAACAGG
rnacentral:rRNA from 1 species